rnacentral:rRNA from 1 species
CCUACGGGCGGCAGCAGUGAGGAAUAUUGGUCAAUGGACGAGAGUCUGAACCAGCCAAGUAGCGUGAAGGAUGACUGCCCUAUGGGUUGUAAACUUCUUUUAUAUGGGAAUAAAACGUUCCACGUGUGGGAUUUUGUAUGUACCAUAUGAAUAAGGAUCGGCUAACUCCGUGCCAGCAGCCGCGGUAAUACGGAGGAUCCGAGCGUUAUCCGGAUUUAUUGGGUUUAAAGGGAGCGUAGGUGGAUUGUUAAGUCAGUUGUGAAAGUUUGCGGCUCAACCGUAAAAUUGCAGUUGAUACUGGCAGUCUUGAGUACAGUAGAGGUAUGCGGAAUGCGUGGUGUAGCGGUGAAAUGCAUAGAUAUCACGCAGAACCCCGAUUGCGAAGGCAGCAUACCGGUGCACAACUGACGCUCAGGCACGAAAGCGUGGGUAUCGAACAGGAUUAGAUACCCCGGUAGUC